UGCAUAUCAAUAAGCGGAGGAAAAGAAACCAACAGGGAUUGCCUUAGUAGCGGCGAGUGAAGCGGCAAAAGCUCAAAUUUGAAAUCUGGCACCUUCGGUGUCCGAGUUGUAAUUUGAAGAUUGUAACCUUGGGGUUGGCUCUUGUCUAUGUUUCUUGGAACAGGACGUCACAGAGGGUGAGAAUCCCGUGCGAUGAGAUGCCCAAUCCUAUGUAAGGUGCUUUCGAAGAGUCGAGUUGUUUGGGAAUGCAGCUCUAAGUGGGUGGUAAAUUCCAUCUAAAGCUAAAUAUUGGCGAGAGACCGAUAGCGAACAAGUACAGUGAUGGAAAGAUGAAAAGAACUUUGAAAAGAGAGUGAAAAAGUACGUGAAAUUGUUGAAAGGGAAGGGUUUGAGAUCAGACUCGAUAUUUUGUGAGCCUUGCCUUCGUGGCGGGGUGACCCGCAGCUUAUCGGGCCAGCAUCGGUUUGGGCGGUAGGAUAAUGGCGUAGGAAUGUGACUUUGCUUCGGUGAAGUGUUAUAGCCUGCGUUGAUGCUGCCUGCCUAGACCGAGGACUGCGAUUUUAUCAAGGAUGCUGGCAUAAUGAUCCCAAACCGCCCGUCUUGAAACACGGACCA
rnacentral:rRNA from 1 species